CAUUCUACUGAGCACACGCAACGCACCUUGAUGAAGGCACGGGAGUUGAUCGGGUAGUAGUUCCCGGCGAUGGGCUCUGACUGUUUCAGGUUCCAAGUGGGUCGAAAGUCUUUCCUGCGGGCUCGCAACAAAAGUCGUCACCAACUUCUCUCCCGUUGGAGUCGGUGAAAAAGAUUCCCGAAGACUUGAUAUCCGUGUCCAAGCGAGUGAUCACCUCCUUGCCCAAGUCGUCGCUGAUGAAAGAAGAUGGACGCGAUUUCCCCAAUGAAUCCCGCGGACACAAAUCGUAAGGCCGGCCAUACUCACUCGAUGGGAAUCGGGCCCACGGUCCACUCGAGUUCUAGAACUCGGCUGUCGGUAUGGAGACGAACCACCUGAGACGCCCACGGGGAGAACCGCUGCCUCACCUCCUGCAUCACUGACGUCUGAGAAGGGGAAAGACCAUGCUGGUAGGACUUGAGCUGAGGUAUGUUGCUGUUUUUUUUGGGGGGGGGGGGGUUGUUUUGCCAUGUGACCAAGAGACUUUUUCACGGGGCUCCUCUUGAUUGUCAUGCCUCCCAAGUUUCAUGUUUCUCACCUGUAUCGCUUAGCUUUGAGGGAAGAAUUUUCCCAAAAGACCCCGAAUGGCAUGACGACACCACGUUCCCCCCAAAUGGAGCCCAAAAUGGCUGCUUCGAACCACAAUGCCAGCUUUGCUGUGUUUUUUUUUUUUUUUUUGGUUUAGUUUUUUUUCCAGGCAUGGCUUGUUGAGACUGCCAGGCUCCACCCACAGGCAAUGACGAAAGUAAACGAUUACGUCAUUUACAGUUGCCAAUAGGAUAUGUUGUUAACAUUUCAAAAUGGCAGACGUGUGUGUUUUCCAGGCCAUGGCUUCUUGAGAUUUUCCUGUAGAUCUGUUGACUAAAUAUCACGUUAGCGACAUCAAACUGG